rnacentral:lncRNA from 1 species
UUUGUCCUAUUGGGUGUGGCAGAACUUGAGGGCCUGCAUGCCUGGUUUUCUGUGCCCAUGAGCUUGCUGUAUCUGGUAGGGAUGAUAGACACCUUCUCCUGGGGGUGGUGGCAGUUGACACAACCCUUCAGGCUCCCAUGUACCAGCUUUUGGGGGCUUCUGGCAGCUGCUGACUUAAUUCUGGCCACAUCUCCAGCACCUAAAGCUCAAGCUGUGCUCUGGGGCUUGUUUGGAGAAAUCUCCUUUGGAGGCUGGUUAGCUCAGUGCUUUGUUGUUCAUGUGGCCUUCACUGCUGAGUCCUCAGUGCUGCCAGCCAUGGCAAUGGAUCACUCUGUGUCCAUCAGACAGCCUCUAUGCUAUGGGGCUUUGCUGAGCCAGCAUGUGGUGGGCAUAGUGGCUGCAGCAGCUGUGACUCAUGGUGCCCGUGUCAUGGCACCCCCUGUGGUCCUUCUCCAGACACUCCCUCACUGUGGGCAUCGGGCUUCGCCUCACACUUACUGUGAGCAUAUGGGUGUGGCUUGUCUAGCAUGUGAUGACACAUGUCCCAAUAUUUGGUUUGGACUGGCUACCACACUGCCCUCCCCAGUCCUGGACCUCGGGCUCAUAGAUGUUUCCUAUGCCCUCAUGCUGUCAGUCGCCUGCUAUGCCACAGCGCCCAUUACAAGGCCUUGGGUAAACAUGGGACUCAUGCUGCUGGUCUCUUUUAUAAACCUGCUCUCUUUUCUUUCCUGGCUUACUGUUGUGGCCUCCAUACAAUUCCCAGCCACAUCCACAUCCUACUGGCAAAUCUCUACGUGGUAGUUCCUCCUGCCAUGGUAGUUCCUCCUUUUCUUAAACCCGUGCUCUAUGGAGUGCGCAUGCAGCAGAUCACUCAGAG